rnacentral:misc_RNA from 1 species
GUCGCCGCCCACACCGCCACGAACAACAACCAGUGAUGUCGCUAGUUUUCUCUGUAGUGUAAAACAGAAUCGGUUUACGGCCAGGCUACCACUACCACCACCACCUUUACUUACAGUAUUACUACUACCACCGCCACCACCUUUAUAAAUAGUAUUACUACUACUACUACUACUAACCACCGACACCAUUAUCGCUGCUUCUGUUAUCACCAACACACACACAAACAACCAGCAUCAUCACUACGAGUCUCUUGUAAUUAUUAUUAUUAAUAAUAACACCAACAGCAGUAGCACCACCACCACCACCGCCACCAGCAGCAGCAGCAGCCCACCACUCUCCGUACUGGCGCCCAGACCCUCGUCACACCUCGGUAGUAUUGUUGCCUGGAAGUGAAAAUACCAUUCGAGGAGGCGCAAGUGGACCACCAAAGAGAUUGCAGCUUACCCGCUCGCUUCGGUUUCUCGAGGACCCUUGUACAAGGCAAACCCCUUAUUUAGGUUGAUGUCACUGUUGGAGCCCUCACCAAGUGCUGCAUCUCGUAUCAGACACCUGCCUUGCCCAUGUUGAGACCGACAGAUGCUACAGACCUUUUGGCUGCUUCAUCCUCAUAGAUAUGUUCCACUACUUGUGCUGAUAAUUUUAUUCGGUCCAGAUUCUUUAGAAUGCACUUCUGGAGUCAGAGCUGCCACGGAAAAAGAGGUCUCCGAACUAGUUGACCGUGACCCAUCUAAGAUCUCUCAUGAGCAGCAGGAGACCCAAGAAUUUCCCAGGCAACCCCAGCACUUUCACCAUCACCAACCACACAAACAAGAGCAGCAACAGGCCUACACACAAUACCUGUCAUUGUCUACCAGGAAAUUUACUGUUCCGUCCAUGAAGCAUUUGGCCACCCUUACUAGCCAGCAUGCAGCCAAAAGCAAUAGCCAGAGUGACCCAAGUAGUUCACGGCCAAUGUUCAGAUUGGAAAGUUUGUCAACACAACAGCCUUUAACCCUUUCGUCUAAUAUCUCUGGCCAGAGGUCUGGCCCUUUGAGCCAGUCUCUGGGGUUUGUCCUGCAAAGAAAACGAAUACUUCGCAGAAAUCUAAUCACGCCAAAGAUUAGCAGCACUUUGCGCCAGGCUCCUUCCUUUCCUUCUUCUAACACUCCACUUCCAACGACGAAGACGACACGCAGUCGCGCUCAUCCGCUCCUUCCACUGACGAUUGCGAUUGCCACAAAGUCAGCGGACCAUGUGAGAAACAUGCAAACUCACCAGAGUUCCACUUUGAGAAAGAAAUUACUGAACUUUGAAGAAUUCGUUGAGAGAGGACAGUGUUGUGUUGUUGUGAAGCUCCGUUCAGCCCGGAGCGCAACAUCAGUUAGAACUUGGUCACCAUUUAGGGUCCAGCAGACGACAACAGGGAUAACAACAACAACAAUACCACAAAGCACAUUAGCAGCAGCAGCGGCGGCAGCAGAAAUAGCAAUGAAUAUCUCCCAGACUCACAGCAGCAGCAGCAACAGCAGCAGUAGCAGCAGUGGUGGUGGGAGUGGUGGGGGUAGCGGAGGAGGAGGUAAUAGUAGCAGCAGCAGCAGCGGCAGCCAGGUUGUGAUAACGGUGAACAAUGCCACCCAAACAGGGGGCGCUGCAACCACCACCACCACCACCACCACCACUACCCAUCCUGAUACUGGCAUGUUGAACUCCUUCACAUCGGGUCCGUCUACCGGUGGUGACAACCCUGCCCUCAUUGCCAACGGCACACGGACACUUUCCACAUUGGGUCCCCUCUCCAGUGACCAUACCCGGGUGGCAUCCAAUUACUCCACAGAUACCAGUUCCGGCACCCAUGCUACGGACACAUAUCUUAGCACACCAGAAAUAAUUGGUAUCUCAUUCGGAGCAGCAAUUAUUAUUUUGGGUAUCAGCAUUCCUUUGAUCUGUUGGGUUCACCGGAAAUACAUGAAUAGGGCAGCGAAACACUACAAGGAAUACUGGGACGACAAUGUGAACCUGAGUUACAUCAAUGGACACUUAGAUGCACCGAGGGAACAAAAUGACGAUGUGAUUUCUUUAGACAACGAUUCAUUCCUCAACAGUCUGGAUAGUGCCUCGUUCACUAACCUCUGGCCCUCCACUGAUAACUCCCGUCGCACCAAUUUGUGACAUCGGCUAUGUCCAUUCUCUGCAAGUCUGCUUACUUAAGAGAAUGUCCCUCCACUUUGAUGAAACUAAACCAAAACUAUGAAAAUGUGAACUUUAUAAAAUUACUACUACUACCACUACCCUUACUACUAUUACUACGACCACUCAACCAAUUCCUCCAUUUCAUUUGGUUCCACCAAAAAAUCACACAACACACUCAAACUCGAUGUAUAUGUCUGUAAGGAUGCAAGACCAAAGCUGACCUUGGCAGGAAUCAAAAACCAGAAUGUACAGACAUGACUCUGAUACUGAGAUGGAGACAGAUGUAAAUAUUCUACAAAAUAUUUCUGCAAUGUUAACUUAUUUAUUCAUUUGUUCAAGAAGGAUUUUUGACAAAUUGAUCAAAGGGUCCUAUUAACGUCACACAAAUCAAUCUUUCACUUUAUUGGGAAAUAAAACAAUUUUAAAACUU